rnacentral:snoRNA from 1 species
UCUGAUCCAUGAUGACUACUUGAUUAAAAUGUUGACUGUUGGAUGAAGCUUGCGGAUAUGGGACUGAGAUCAGCU